UUUGACCCGGCCCUGUUUAGGGGUUUCAGUGUUGGCGUUAUCUAUUUCAUCGUUGAGUAGAUACUGACUGUGGGUGCUGGUAGGUCUUUUACCCUGGACAUUGAGGUCGGCUUCUUUGUGACACUUUGUCUCUCUUGUGGAAGGUGCCGAUGCCAAGAAACGUCAAUUAUUCAACUUCAACCAAGAAUCAAAAGAAGGAAACAAUGACGCUGGUCCAGCUAAAGUCCCUCGCCUUACUUUGGUUCUACAUGAGCGGGAUUCGACUUUAAAAAAUUGCCCGUCUUCAGUGACUCAUCAGCCUUCAACUUCAAUAAAUUGCCAGUCUCCAGUAAAUCACCAGCCUUGAACUGCAAUAAAUUGCCAGUCUUCAGCGAAUCACCAGCCUUCAACUUCAAUAAGUUGCCAGUCUCCAGUGAAUCACCAGCUUUCUACAAAAUCCAAAUGGUGACUACAUAAGACCACAAUAUGGUCAGCUCUACUUUCUGUAUCCCGACGAUGCUGUGAAUGAAAGAAUUCAACAUCCAUACAAUACUGACAUCAACCAAGACUUAGUGAAUAGAUUAGAGAAAAUCAUAUGCGCCGUCAAUUGUUUCACUCAGGCAACUUGCAUCAGCAAAAGGAAUAGCACCUCCACAUGUUCGACUUUUGUUUACUAAUCCUGAUGGUUUUGAUGUCAGGCGCUACAACGCCCCCUCAUCUAAUGAAGUAUGUGCUGUGCUGACAUUGAAUGCUGAUCAAAGCAUUCCAGCUAAUGAAAUGGUUGUACCUCAGCGAGGCAAAGAAAUAGUUACUUUAAAGAACACAAGACAAACGAACAGAGCCCUUCACAUAUCCAUUAUUUUAUCCUAAAGGCACCUUUGGAUAUUCUGUGGAUCUGAAGCUACAACAGCCUUAUCCCAAUCGGCAGCAUCUAACAAGACUGGAAAUGGCUUAUAGCAAAGGACUCACCAAAAAUCUUCCACUUGAAAAAGAUCACAGCGAUCUUGAUCUACGUGAAACACAAUGCAACGCACUACAUUUUGGUGGCCGACUGUUUCAGCAGUAUCUGGUUGACACAUUUAUUAGAGUGGAAUGCGAUCCAGUAGAUCAAGUCCAACCAAAAAAAAAAUUCUGGCUGAAAAAUACAUUGGAGUGUCUAACUUCCUUAAAGAACUUGCUGAAAUGAAAGAUGCUGUUGUUGGUGAAACCAUCAUUUUACCAUCCUC
rnacentral:sRNA from 1 species